rnacentral:rRNA from 1 species
GCACUUUCGACGGGGACGAUGAUGACGGUACCCGUAGAAGAAGCCCCGGCUAACUUCGUGCCAGCAGCCGCGGUAAUACGAAGGGGGCUAGCGUUGCUCGGAAUGACUGGGCGUAAAGGGCGCGUAGGCGGCGGCGUAAGUCAGAUGUGAAAUUCCUGGGCUUAACCUGGGGGCUGCAUUUGAGACUGCGUUGCUAGAGGAUGGAAGAGGCUCGUGGAAUUCCCAGUGUAGAGGUGAAAUUCGUAGAUAUUGGGAAGAACACCGGUGGCGAAGGCGGCGAGCUGGUCCAUUACUGACGCUGAGGCGCGAUAGCGUGGGGAGCAAACAGGAUUAGAUACCCUGGUAGUCCACGCCGUAAACGAUGUGUGCUGGAUGUUGGGGUUCAUA